CCUACGGGGUGCAGCAGUGAGGAAUAUUGGUCAAUGGCCGGAAGGCUGAACCAGCCAUGCCGCGUGAAGGUCAGUGCCCUAUGGGCGUUAAACUUCUUUUGUGCGGGAGCAAUAAUGGUCACGUGUGGCCAGACGAGAGUACCGUACGCAUAAGCAUCGGCUAAAUCCGUGCCCGCAGCCGCGGUAAUACGGGGGAUUCAAGCGUUAUCCGGAAUUAUUGGGGUUAAAGGGUGCGUAGGCUGUGCGGUAAGUCAGCGGUGAAAUGCCCCCGCUCCACGGGGUGAAUUGCCAUUGAUACUGCCUUGCUGGAAUGCGGAUGCGGUGGGAGGAAUGUGUGGUGUAGCGGUGAAAUGCAUAGAGAUCACACAGAACACCGAUUGCGAAGGCAUCUCACGAAGCCGCGAUUGACGCUGAUGCACGAAAGCGUGGGUAUCAAACAGGAUUAGAUACCCCUGUAGUC
rnacentral:rRNA from 1 species